rnacentral:lncRNA from 1 species
CAACUUACCCUUUUUACCGAACUGCUUUUUUUGCUUGUAAGGGAAGAUCUUAAGGAAGACCUGAUCGCCAAUAACAAAUUCUAAGGGUCUUCUGUGGUUGUCGGCAUAACUUUUUUGGUGACUCUGAGCAGUAGCUAAGUUCCUUCGAAUGAUAGCAACUUUCUCGAUAGUCUUCUAGAUGUAAUCAGGUUCUAAACGAUGCUAAUUCCCAACUUCAUUCAAAUAAGUGGGAGAACGACAGGGCCUACCAUAGAGAGCUUUAUACGAAGCUAUGCUGAUACUGGAAUGAUAAUUGUUAUUCUAAGAAAAUUCACACAAGGGAAGGUACUCAUACUAGUUACCACU